CUCUCGCCUAACUUUUAUCUUUAUUAUUGUUUCAUUCAUAGUCAGGAAAGGUAAUUUUUCCUGGGUGCACAUGUCUAGGCUGGUAACGUUUUCAACAGGAAGAACGAUUUAUUAUUCUGCCGCCUCCUGGCUCCGUUCCCCAGCCGAGAUGGCCAUUUUCGCUGGCUUGUCAUUUCUCUCAAGUUACCCUUUUCCUCUCCGGAUGCUUUUGAAGUCUUCUGUCCUUGCUGUCCUGCAGUUUAAUUACACAUCGACUCUUAACUGAUGUGCUUUGAUUCCACUGUGCCUUCCGCAACUGUGUGCUGUAGUUGGAACCUGGCCUCCUCUUCUGCUUUCCGGCCAUGAGGCCACCAGAGAGGAAGGCUGAUGGAUUGACGUCAUCAGUCACGUGCGUGCAGCCUGGCGCCCAGGUCUUCAUCUUUUUCGGUAACUCAGAGCUUUACAGCAGCUCGCAGCAAAUCUCUGGGGCGCAGAUCAAGGAAAUCCCUGGACACAUUGCUGCCUAACCUCUUACCCAGUGUCUUUGACCAAGUUUCUUACCCAUUGCCUUAUGAUUAAAAUCGGAAAGGUCAUUUAUCCCAGUGUUAUGAGGGCCAGACAUCAAGCAUGUAAGACUAACCCAGAUAAUAAACCAUAAAACAGUA